rnacentral:rRNA from 1 species
GACGAACGCUGGCGGCGUGCUUAACACAUGCAAGUCGAGCGGUAAGGCCCUUUCGGGGGUACGCGAGCGGCGAACGGGUGAGUAACACGUGGGUGACCUGCCCUCAGCUCUGGGAUAAGCCUGGGAAACCGGGUCUAAUACUGGAUAUGACUCCAUGACGCAUGCUGUGGGGUGGAAAGCCUUGUGCGGCUGAGGAUGGGCCCGCGGCCUAUCAGCUUGUUGGUGGGGUGAUGGCCUACCAAGGCGACGACGGGUAGCCGGCCUGAGGGGGCGACCGGCCACACUGGGACUGAGACACGGCCCAGACUCCUACGGGAGGCAGCAGUGGGGAAUCUUGCGCAAUGGGCGAAAGCCUGACGCAGCGACGCCGCGUGAGGGAUGACGGCCU